rnacentral:rRNA from 1 species
CCUACGGGAGGCAGCAGUGAGGAAUAUUGGUCAAUGGGCGGGAGCCUGAACCAGCCAAGUCGCGUGAGGGAAGACGGUCCUAUGGAUUGUAAACCUCUUUAGGCGGGGAGCAAUGCCGGGCACGUGUGCCCGGAGGGAGAGUACCCGCAGAAUAAGCAUCGGCUAACUCAGUGCCAGCAGCCGCGGUAGGACGGAGGAUGCGAGCGUUAUCCGGAUUUAUUGGGGUUAAAGGGUGCGUAGGCGGAUUUUUAAGUCAGCGGUAAAAUGUCCGGGCUCAACCCGGGCCGGCCGUUGAAACUGGGGAUCUUGAGUGCGCGAGAAGUAUGCGGAAUGCGUGGUGUAGCGGUGAAAUGCAUAGAUAUCACGCAGAACUCCGAUUGCGAAGGCAGCAUACCGGCGCCCGACUGACGCUGAGGCACGAAAGCGUGGGGAGCGAACAGGAUUAGAUACCCUUGUAGUC